AACGUAGGACGCAAACGUUAUCCGGAAUUACUGGGCGUAAAGGGCGCGCAGGCGGAUCGAUAAGUGAGGCCUGAAAGCUUCGGGCUAAAACUGGAGAGGCUGUCUGAGACUGUCGAGCUGGAGUGCGAUAGAGGGGUGUAGAAUUCCGCGUGUAGUGGUGAAAUGCGUAGAGAUGCGGAGGAAUACCAGAGGCCAAGGCGGCACGCUGGAUCGUAACUGCCGCUGAGGCGCGAAAGCCGGGGGAGCGCACGUG
rnacentral:rRNA from 1 species